GAUGAACGCUAGCGGCAGGCCUAACACAUGCAAGUCGAGGGCAUCAUGGCGUAGCAAUACGCUGAUGGCGACCGGCGCACGGGUGCGUAACGCGUAUGGAACCUACCCACCGCAGGGGGAUAACCCGCCGAAAGGCGGACUAAUACCCCAUGGUUCCCCGACCCUGCCUGGGGUUGGGGUAAAGCCUACGGGCGGCGGUGGAUGGCCCUGCGUGCCAUUAGCUGGCUGGUGGGGUAACGGCCCACCAGGGCGACGAUGGCUAGGGGGUCUGAGAGGACGAUCCCCCACACUGGUACUGAGACACGGACCAGACUCCUACGGGAGGCAGCAGUGAGGAAUAUUGGUCAAUGGGCGCAAGCCUGAACCAGCCAUCCCGCGUGCAGGAAGACGGCGCUAUGCGUUGUAAACUGCUUUUCCAGGGAGAGAAACUUGCGCACGUGUUGCGCAAUUGACGGUACCCUGGGAAUAAGCAUCGGCUAACUCCGUG
rnacentral:rRNA from 1 species